ensembl:snRNA U2 U2 spliceosomal RNA
AUCGCUUCUCGGCCUUUUGGCUAAGAUCAAGUGUAGUAUCUGUUCUUAUCUGAGCGAGGAGUGCGGAGCGACGAUCAAAUUCAAGAAGAUUGGUGGAACGACUUCAUUUAUUUUCUUUGUUGACAACUUUG